CCUACGGGAGGCAGCAGUGGGGAAUAUUGCACAAUGGGGGAAACCCUGAUGCAGCAACGCCGCGUGAGCGAUGAAGGCCUUCGGGUCGUAAAGCUCUGUCCUAAGGGAAGAAUACUGACGGUACAUUAGGAGGAAGCCCUGGCUCACUACGUGCCAGCAGCCGCGGUAAUACGUAGGGGGCUAGUGGUAUCCGGAAUUACUGGGCGUAAUGGGUGCGUAGGCGGCCCUUCACUUCAGAGGUGUAAGACUACGGCUCAACCGUUGUGAGCCAUUGUAACUGUAGGGCUUGAGUGCAGGAAAGGAGAGUGGUAUUCCGAGUGUUGCGGUGAUAUGCGUAUAUAUUGUGAGGAAGUCUAGUUGCGUUGGCGGUUCUCUGUAGGGUAAGUGACGCUGUGGAACGAAAGCGUGGUGAUCGAAGUGGAUUAGGAGCCCUAUUAGUG
rnacentral:rRNA from 1 species